GCUCCGCCUGUCCCACCUCUGCGGUCCUUGUGCCAAUGCUGACUGCCUUGUUACUUGGAAUUGCUGCAGAAAGUCCAGAAGGAUUCCAGGAGAAGCGUUGAUUCUCCACCGAACAUAUGGAGAGGUGGAAAUGGUGCUCCUCGGCCUAUCUGCCAUUUGAUGCUCAGGAAGGGAGGAAGGAAGGAAAACCAAACGUUUCUGUGCCGAGGGGUUUCUCCAGCCUUAUCACGGCCUCGCUUCCUUUGCUAGAUGUUCUCUGAAGCGGUGGAAGAGGGGAGCUAACUCCGUGUUUUCCUCUCAGGGCACAGAAAUACAGUGGGAAGAUGGAGCUGCAGGGAGAAACUCCAACAAGCCAGCAGGGUGGGCUGCUAAUACUCAGAAGAGACUCCUCCAUCCGCUCAUGGUUCUCUUGCCCCACAAUUUCUUCCAUUUGAACUUCUGCCCAUGGUCUGCAGUGACUCUUCUAGAGCAGGUCUGCUGUCAUGUAAAGGACACAGCAGGUGAGUGUGAAAUGGUAUGUUCACGUUAUAUUGAGGGACAUAGUUUAAUGGGUGUGUUGGCAGUGGGUUAACGGUUGGACCAGGUGGUCUUUGUGGUCUUUUCCAACCUUAAUGAUUCUAUGGUUCUGUGAUUCUGUGAUUUGAAUACUGGUGCUAUGGAACACUUCUAAAGCUUUAUUUUUCCUGACAGAUUUCCUCACUUACUGAGAGUAUCACGGUUUCAAGCAUUUCAGCUCCUAGCCACUAGAGCUGAAUGCAUUUUUUUCAUGUGAAGUGAUUGUUUUUAUGACAUCAAAAUAUUUUAAUUCCAGUUUCCUUUUUUUAAAAAAAAU
rnacentral:lncRNA from 1 species